rnacentral:rRNA from 1 species
ACUCAAAUGAAUUGACGGGGGCCCGCACAAGCAGUGGAGUAUGUGGUUUAAUUCGAAGCAACGCGAAGAACCUUACCAGGGCUUGACAUGCAGAUGAAAGUAGUAGAGAUACUACCCUCCUUCGGGACAUCUGUGCAGGUGGUGCACGGUUGUCGUCAGCUCGUGUCGUGAGAUGUUUGGUUAAGUCCAUCAACGAGCGCAACCCCUAUUGUUAGUUGCCAUCGGGUAAUGCCGGGAACUCUAACAAGACUGCCGUGGAGAACACGGAGGAAGGUGGGGAUGACGUCAAAUCAUCAUGCCCUUUAUGUCCUGGGCUACACACGUACUACAAUGGCCGUAACAGAGGGAAGCGAAACAGUGAUGUGGAGCAAAACCCAAAAAGCGGUCUCAGUUCGGAUUGAAGGCUGAAAUUCGCCUUCAUGAAGCCGGAAUUGCUAGUAAUUGCAGGUCAGCAUACUGCAGUGAAUACGUUCCCGGGCCUUGCACACACCGCCCGU